GGGCCCGCACAAGCGGUGGAGUAUGUGGUUUAAUUCGAUGCAACGCGAAGAACCUUACCAGGGUUUGACAUCCUGCGAAUCUCUUGGAAACGAGAGAGUGCCUUCGGGAACGCAGUGACAGGUGGUGCAUGGCUGUCGUCAGCUCGUGUCGUGAGAUGUUGGGUUAAGUCCCGCAACGAGCGCAACCCACGUCUUUAGUUGCCAGCAUUUAGUUGGGCACUCUAGAGAGACUGCCGGUGAUAAACCGGAGGAAGGUGUGGAUGACGUCAAGUCAUCAUGCCCCUUACAUCCUGGGCUACACACGUGCUACAAUGGGCGGUACAAAGGGCUGCGAUGUCGCGAGGCGGAGCCAA
rnacentral:rRNA from 1 species